AUGGCAAGUGGUCUCCAGUGUGUCAACUUCCAUCUCAUACACCACUCCGAAGGGCCGCUGUGGAGCCGGACAGAAGGGAGAGGGAAAGUCUGACCAGUAAAGAGUAUCACACCCCCGUCUCCUGCUGGCUUCUCCAUCACCCUUUGCCAACUUCAAGUUCAACAUGAGAUGUCACUUCACCAUAUCAGCUGUCCCUGCAUUUUGGUCCCCUGCACCUUGUUGGAGCAGAGGUUCAUCUCAGAAGCAUUCCCAAGCUUAUGCUCCCCCCUGUCCGUAUCAGGCCACAGCAUCUUGGCGUUCAGAAAAUGGCACCAGGAAACCUGAUACCCCACUAAUGGGUAAUCCUGUUUGUUAUGCCCUAAUGAAAGUCAGCUGCCAAGCCCGGUUCCUGUGGCUCUUGGUCUCCAGUCAAGAAAAAUAGAAAUAUACUCUGCUAGGCUCUGGGUCAACUCGUGCCAAGGUUUGACUAGACAGUCAUUUUAAGUGACUCUGCUCCCCAACCCUCACACAGCGGGUGAGGAGUCAGAGAGGAAAGAAUGGAGAUGGGGAGUGGGGAGGGAAGGAGACAAACAGACAGAGACACAGGUGGGGGAAGAGACAGAGAAACGGACAGAUGCAAGCACAUACAGACACACACAGACACAAAGAUACAGACACACAGAGAGAGACACACACAGACACAGAGACACACAGACACAGAGACACACAGACACAGAGAGACACACAGAUACAGACUCAGAGACAGAUACACACAGACACAGACACACACAGACACAGAGACACACAAAGACACACACAGAGAGACACACACAGAGACACACAAAGACACACACACACAGAGGCUGAUGUUGGUUGUCAGACCUGAAUUUUUCACUAUUAUCUCAAUUGCUCAUUUUUUCCUCAAUAAAAGGCAUUUUGUCAACUA
rnacentral:lncRNA from 1 species